UACGGAAGGCAGCAGUGGGGAAUAUUGCACAAUGGGCGAAAGCCUGAUGCAGCUAUGCCGCGUGUAUGAAGAAGGCCUUAGGGUUGUAAAGUACUUUCAUCGGGGAGGAAAAACAAAACUAAUAAUUUUAUUUCUUGACGUUACCCGAAAAAGAAGCACCGGCUAACUCCGUGCCAGCAGCCGCGGUAAUACGGAGGGUGCUAGCGUUAAUCAGAAUUACUGGGCGUAAAGAGCACGUAGGUGGUUUUUUUAAGUCAGAUGUGAAAUCCCUGGGCUUAACCUAGGAACUGCAUUUUGAAACUGAAAUACUAGAGUAUCGUAGAGGGAGGUAGAAUUCUAGGUGUAGCGGUGAAAUGCGUAGAUAUCUGGAGGAUACCUGUGGCAAAAGCGGCCUCCUAAACGAAUACUGACACUGAGGUGCGAAAGCGUGGGGAGCAAACAGGGAUUAGAUACC
rnacentral:rRNA from 1 species